CCAAUAGCGUAUAUUAAAGUUGUUGCAGUUAAAAAGCUCGUAGUUGAAUUUCGAGACCGGUUUACUGGUCGUGCUUUUGUACGUACUGGUAUUAUUGGUUUCUCCUUUCUGACGAAUCAUAAUGCCAUUAAUUUGGUGUUUUGGGGAAUCAGGACUGUUACUUUGAAAAAAUUAGAGUGUUUAAAGCAGGCUCACGCUUGAAUACAUUAGCAUGGAAUAACGAAAUAGGACGUUUGAUUUUAUUUUGUCGGUUUCUAGGAUCGACGUAAUGAUUAAUAGGGAUAGUUGGGGGCAUUAGUAUUCAAUUGUCGGAGGUGAAAUUCUUGGAUUUAUUGAAGACUAACUACUGCGAAAGCAUUUGCCAAGGAUGUUUUCAUUAAUCAAGAACGAAAGUUAGGGGAUCGAAGACGAUCAGAUACCGUCGUAGUCUUAACCAUAAACUAUGCCGACUAGGGAUCGGAUGAUGUUAAUUUUUUAAUGACUCAUUCGGCGCCUUACG
rnacentral:rRNA from 1 species